rnacentral:rRNA from 1 species
UACGGAGGGGGCUAGCGUUGUUCGGAGUUACUGGGCGUAAAGGGUGUGUAGGCGGUUGCUUAAGUUUGGUGUGAAAUCUCCCGGCUCAACCGGGAGGGUGCGCCGAAUACUGAGUGACUAGAGUGCGGGAGAGGAAAGUGGAAUUCCUGGUGUAGCGGUGAAAUGCGUAGAUAUCAGGAGGAACACCGGUGGUGUAGACGGCUUUCUGGACCGUAACUGACGCUGAGACACGAAAGCGUGGGUAGCAAACAGG